rfam:Myotis brandtii contig213635, whole genome shotgun sequence.
AUGACUAUACUUUCAGGGAUCAUUUCUAUAGUUCUUUACUAGAGAAGUUUCUCUGAAUGUGUAGAGCACCCAAAACCAUGAGGAGGAGAUGCAGCAUCCUCUCCUGAGCGUGAAGCUGGCUCUUGGUGUUGCUUUGGUAACUGCCACUUGCCAUUGAUGAUUGCUCUUCUCUCUCUCGGGAAAGAAGAGGGAGAGGAUGCAUUCUGAGUGGU